AUUGAACGCUGGCGGCAGGCCUAACACAUGCAAGUCGAGCGAGCGGCGGACGGGUGAGUAAUGUCUGGGAAACUGCCUGAUGGAGGGGGAUAACUAAUGGAAACGGUAGCUAAUAACGCAUACUAUCAGAUGUGCCCAGAUGGGAUUAGCUAGUAGGUGGGGUAAUGGCUCACCUAGGCGACGAUGCCUAGCUGGUCUGAGAGGAUGACCAGCCACACUGGAACGGAGACACGGUCCAGACUCCUACGGGAGGAAGCAGUGGGGAAUAGUGCACAAUGGGCGCAAGCCUGAUGGAGCAAUGCCGCGUGUGUGAAGAAGGCCUUCGGGUUGUAAAGCACUUUCAGCGAGGAGGCGUUACUCGAAGAAGAAGCACCGGCUAACUCCGUGCCAGCAGCCGCGGUAAUUC
rnacentral:rRNA from 1 species